rnacentral:sRNA from 1 species
CCCACACAUAGUUGAAUUUCAUUUUGCUUAAUCGGAUUUCUCUCUCCUUUCUUUCUCUCUUGAGGUUGAGAAAGAGAAGGAGAGAGAGACUCAAAUACAAUGACUUUCUCCAUGGUGUUUCUCUUUCUUUGUGUCAUUUUGGCAGCUUUCAUGGCUGUGGCUUCCUCACAAUCUCUUACUCCGGCUCCUGCUCCUACAAGUGAUGGCACCUCAGUUGACCAAGCUGUAGCGUAUGUCCUGAUGUUGGUUGCCUUGGUUCUGACUUACAUCAUGCAUUAAGGCACCAACGAUGUCACAAACACUUAGGAGAAGAGAGAUAUUUUGAUUGGAAUAAUACAUUUUGUAUAUCUUCUUUUUCUCCAGGAAUAGUUUCAUUCUGAUAUAUUUUCUUUCAGAUAUGUUUAUUUAUUGUGCUUGUGAUUCUGAAUCAUUAGUUUAUUUACAAAGGGAUAAAGC